GAACAUCUUACGGAUGGCCCAGGGCUCCAAAGGCUCGUUUCCUAAGUGAGAGAGAGCCUGGCUGAAGCUGUAUUACCAUUCAUUCUCCAGCCUCCGAAGUCUCAAAGCAUCACUUCCACCAUACUCUAACUGUCAAGACAAACACAAAGGCCCAGACAUUACAUGUAAAUGGAAUCAUACAAUAUGUGAUCUUUUGUGACUGGCUUCUUUCACUUAGCAUAACGUUUUCAAGGUUUGUUCGUGUUGUAGCAGAAACUGCCAGACUGUCUUCUGAAGUGGCUAUAAUAUUUACACUCCCAUCAGCAGUGUAGAAGGGGUCUCACUAUGUUGUCUGGAGUGCUGUGGUGGAGUGGAGUGGCUAUUCACAGAGCCUGUUCUGCUGGGACACAGAAUCACUUGCUCCAUCUCAUACAUUGAUGAUGAUUAAUUUGUAUGUGUACCUUCCAAAAAAGAUGGUUGUGUUUGAAUGGAGGCCUUCUGGACAGGAAAAUAUGGAGAGUGCGUGCUUUGGAUUCAAGACUGGGAAUGAGGGGACCAGAAACCUAUUCUGUGGCUGUUUCUUGUUAGGACUUUCCUAAGCCUCUGGAAAAGUGCAAAGUACAAUUAACAUUUGAGUCUGUCUGAGUCAUGAAGAAAUGGAGAUUACUGAAAAUAAUUCAUUUUGGUAUCUUCUUACAUCCUGAGAGACUAAUCUUUCCAAGUUCAUCUGAGGCUCCUCUUCUCCAUGACAACCUCAUCCAGGGAUUUCUUCCUGUCCUGGUGUUUUAUGACAUGUAAGUGAAGACCCACAUGCUGCUUUGUAUAUUUUUGUCAAAAGAGGAAAAACUGUCUUGUCGAGGACAGGAACUAAAUUAUAUGCAGUAUUUCUUUAGAAGCCCAUUCAGCAUCUUAAAGUGUUAGGUACAGAGAAGGCCCUCCAUAAAAAUUUGCUAAAUUGAAACUAGGAGCAAACGUUAAGUCAAGAUCAAACUCAGGAAUAACUAUGGCUAUUAAUCAUCUUUUACCCAGAAUUUAAAUAAUUUCAUAAGUAUUGCCUGAAAUCUUUUUCUUUAUGUCAAUAGUAGCAUGUUUUACUGGUGGUAGGAUGUCUGGGGUGAAUAUCAAAGAUCUGGCCCAAGUUGUUCCUGGGAGCUGGGGGUUAGGGAGUAGGAGAGAAAGAUAUUUAACUCUUCCAAAUACCUAGUGGAUUAGGAUCCCACAGGGAACUACUGAAAAUGCAAAUGGGGCUGGGGUAGGGGCUCACACCUGUAAUCCCAGCACUCUGGGAGGCCGAGGCUGGCGGAUCACUUGAAGCCAGUAGUUCAAGACCAGCCUAGCCAACCUGGUGAAACCCUGUCUCUACUAAAAAUACAAAAA
ensembl:lncRNA LINC00635 long intergenic non-protein coding RNA 635